rnacentral:rRNA from 1 species
UACGAAGGGGGGCUAGCGUUGCUCGGAAUCACUGGGCGUAAAGGGUGCGUAGGCGGGUCUUUUAAGUCAGGGGUGAAAUCCUGGAGCUCAACUCCAGAACUGCCUUUGAUACUGAAGAUCUUGAGUUCGGGAGAGGUGAGUGGAACUGCGAGUGUAGAGGUGAAAUGCGCAGAUAUCUGGAGGAACACCGGUGGCGAAGGCGACGUCCUGGACCGGCAUUGACGCUGAGGCGCGAAAGCCAGGGGAGCAAAGCGGGG